rnacentral:rRNA from 1 species
GACGAACGCUGGCGGCGUGCUUAACACAUGCAAGUCGAACGGAAAGGCCCUGCUUUUGUGGGGUGCUCGAGUGGCGAACGGGUGAGUAACACGUGAGUAACCUGCCCUUGACUUUGGGAUAACUUCAGGAAACUGGGGCUAAUACCGGAUAGGAGCUCCUGCUGCAUGGUGGGGGUUGGAAAGUUUCGGCGGUUGGGGAUGGACUCGCGGCUUAUCAGCUUGUUGGUGGGGUAGUGGCUUACCAAGGCUUUGACGGGUAGCCGGCCUGAGAGGGUGACCGGCAACAUGGGGAUGGAGAUACGGCCCAGACUCCUACGGGAGGCAGCAGUGGGGAAUAUGGCACAAUGGGCGGAAGCCUGAUGCAGCAACGCCGCGUGCGGGAUGACGGCCUUCGGGUUGUAAACCGCUUUCGCCUGUGACGAAGCGUGAGUGACGGUAAUGGGUAAAGAAGCACCGGCUAACUACGU